rnacentral:rRNA from 1 species
CGCGUAGGCGGCUAUUUAAGUCGGAUGUGAAAGCCCCGGGCUCAACCUGGGAAUUGCAUCCGAUACUGGGUAGCUAGAAUGCAGUAGAGGGAGGUGGAAUUUCCGGUGUAGCGGUGAAAUGCGUAGAGAUCGGAAGGAACACCAGUGGCGAAGGCGGCCUCCUGGACUGACAUUGACGCUGAGGUGCGAAAGCGUGGGGAUCAAACA